rnacentral:rRNA from 1 species
AUUGAACGCUGGCGGCAGGCCUAACACAUGCAAGUCGAACGAGAGGCGGCCGGGUGAGUAAUGUCUGAGAAACUGCCUGAUGGAGGGGGAUAACUACUGGAAACGGUAGCUAAUACCGCAUACCAUCAGCUGAGCCCAGAUGGGAUUAGCUAGUUGGUGGGGUAACGGCUCACCAAGGCGACGAUCCCUAGCUGGUCUGAGAGGAUGACCUGCCACACUGGCACUGUGACACGGUCCAGACUCCUACGGGAGGCAGCAGUGGGGAAUAUUGCACAAUGGGCGCAAGCCUGAUGCAGCCAGGCCGCGUGUAUGAAGAAGGCCUUCGGGUUGUAAAGUACUUUCAGCGGGGAGGCGUUACCCGCAGAAGAAGCACCGGCUAACUCCGUGCCAGCAGCCGCGGUAAUUC